UGCCAACAGCCACCUCUCUCUCCUCCCACUCUGGUUCCUAUGAAAAGACGACUGAGAAGUGAGAAGUGUGGGACUUCCCACUCAGAAGUGGGAGUGCAGCAUUACUCUAUGCAGUUAGUUCCUCCCUUCUUCAUUGCAAAAGGGUUGUGCAGUGCUACAUUUUAGUGCGAAAGAAACCCCUUGCAGGAAGCUGUAAGACAGUGAAUGGCUGAAGGGCAAGAGCUAUUAUGGUAUAUAGGAAAAUAAGCUGGAAUCAGAGUUCCCCAGUCAGGAAACUGUGGAGUGAGAAGCUUCUACAGAGACUCUUGAAGAACCACAUAGGCAACCCACAACAGAAGGAACACUUAAGAUAUCUGCAACGCAGCCGGGUGCAGUGGCUCACGCCUGUAAUCCUAACACUUUGGGAGGCCGAGGCGGGCGGACCACCUGAGGUCGGGAAUUCAAGACCAUCCUGACCAACAUGGGGAAACCCUAUCUCUACUAAAAAUACAAAAUUAGCCAGGCGUGGUGGCGCAUGCUACUCGGGAGGCUGAGGCAGGAGAAUUGCUUGAACCCAGGAGGCUGAGGUUGCGGUGAGCCGAUAUCGCGCCAUUACACUGCAGCCUGGGCGACAGAGCGAGACUCCGUCUCAGAAAAAAAAAAAAAAAAAAAAGAUACCUGCAACACAGAGAGGCCAUUAAUGGAUACCAUAAUCACCCAGCGCCUUCCCACCUCCCACUUGGACAAGAGGGGAAGAACACAGAAGAGAAAGAGCUAACAAGCAAAAGAAACACCACCCCGGCACCCAUGGUUUUGACUCAAACAUGUAAUGUGUGGGUUCAGAGGAUGCUACCGAAAUCCCACUUAUGUCUGUUGCCGAUCAUGUUUCUCUAAUGGUAUGUUUUAGACAUAGAGCUCUAUGACUAGGGACAGGCUUAACUCAAACUACACUGAGGUUUGGAAGAACAUGCCUGCCAGGAGCCUAAUGUACUUAAUACAACAGGGCUGGGUCAAGAAAGUGUCAUUUGGUAUUGCUACAACGAUAGGAGGCACAGGCUAUUUUAAGAACAAUAUGGUUUGGGGUGAUCUCUGUGAAGUUUAUGAGUAGUCAGAGAAGAGAACAUAAAACUUGCUCUACACAUGUAAUUAAAAUACAGGGUAACUAAAUUCAUGUGCAAGUAAUAGGAGAGCAGAGUGGAGCCAGGGGAUCAUAAUCAGCAUCCUGGUUGAAGUGAAAAGCAAUUUGUGGUGGCGCUUUCAAAUUCCUACUUUAGUGGACAGAUUUGGAAAGCUCACGUAUAGUCUUCCUGGCUGGGUGGGUUUACUAUCAUAGCCCUUUCAUUUUAAAAAUGUCUCUAAAAAUAGCAGUUGGGUUUGGUUUUGUUUUUUUUCUCCAGGAGAAAUCACACCAUUUUAUAAACAAAUCACUGUUUCAUAGAAG
rnacentral:lncRNA from 1 species